GACGAACGCUGGCGGCGUGCUUAACACAUGCAAGUCGAACGGAAAGGCCCUGCUUUUGUGGGGUGCUCGAGUGGCGAACGGGUGAGUAACACGUGAGUAACCUGCCCUUGACUUUGGGAUAACUUCAGGAAACUGGGGCUAAUACCGGAUAGGAGCUCCUGUUGCAUGGGGGGGGUUGGAAAGUUUCGGCGGUUGGGGAUGGACUCGCGGCUUAUCAGCUUGUUGGUGGGGUAGUGGCUUACCAAGGCUUUGCCGGGUAGCCGGCCUGAGGGGGUGACCGGCCACAUUGGGACUGAGAUACGGCCCAGACUCCUACGGGAGGCAGCAGUGGGGAAUAUUGCACAAUGGGCGGAAGCCUGAUGCAGCAACGCCGCGUGCGGGAUGACGGCCUUCGGGUUGUAAACCGCUUUCGCCUGUGACGAAGCGUGAGUGACGGUAAUGGGUAAAGAAGCACCGGCUAACUACGUG
rnacentral:rRNA from 1 species